UCCCUGGUGGUCCAGUGGUUAGGACUCCAUGCUCUCACUGCCAAGGCCUCAGGUUUGAUCCCUGGCUGGGGAU
rnacentral:tRNA from 1 species